GGGGAAUUUUGGACAAUGGGCGCAAGCCUGAUCCAGCCAUGCCGCGUGUCUGAAGAAGGCCUUCGGGUUGUAAAGGACUUUUGUCAGGGAAGAAAAGGCUGUCGCUAAUACCGACAGUUGAUGACGGUACCUGAAGAAUAAGCACCGGCUAACUACGUGCCAGCAGCCGCGGUAAUACGUAGGGUGCGAGCGUUAAUCGGAAUUACUGGGCGUAAAGCGAGCGCAGACGGUUACUUAAGCAGGAUGUGAAAUCCCCGGGCUCAACCUGGGAACUGCGUUCUGAACUGGGUGACUAGAGUGUGUCAGAGGGAGGUAGAAUUCCACGUGUAGCAGUGAAAUGCGUAGAGAUGUGGAGGAAUACCGAUGGCGAAGGCAGCCUCCUGGGAUAACACCGACGUUCAUGCUCGAAAGCGUGGGUAGCAAACAGGAUUAGAUACCCUGGUAGUCCACGCCCUAAACGAUGUCAAUUAGCUGUUGGGCAACUUGAUUGCUUAGUAGCGUAGCUAACGCGUGAAAUUGACCGCCUGGGGAGUACGGUCGCAAGAUUA
rnacentral:rRNA from 1 species